rnacentral:rRNA from 1 species
CAGUCGCGGGAAUACGGAGGGUGCAAGCGUUAAUCGGAAUUACUGGGCGUAAAGCGCACGCAGGCGGUCUGACAAGUCAGAUGUGAAAUCCCCGGGCUUAACCUGGGAACUGCAUUUGAAACUGUCAGGCUGGAGUCUUGUAGAGGGGGGUGGAAUUCCAGGUGUAGCGGUGAAAUGCGUAGAGAUCUGGAGGAAUACCGGUGGCGAAGGCGGCCCCCUGGACAAAGACUGACGCUCAGGUGCGAAAGCGUGGGGAGCAAACAGGAUUAGAUACCCCUGUAGUCCCUGUCUCUUAUACACA